AACAUGACUCUCGACAACGGAUAUCUCGGCUCUCGCCACGAUGAAGAAUGUAGUGAAAUGCGAUACUUAGUGUGAAUUGCAGAAUCCCAUGAAUCAUCGAGUCUUUGAACGCAAGUUGCGCCCGAGGCUCCGGCUGAGGGCACGUCUGCUUGGGCGUCGCAC
rnacentral:rRNA from 2 species